rnacentral:rRNA from 1 species
UCCUACGGGGGGCAGCAGUCGGGAAUAUUGCGCAAUGGAGGAAACUCUGACGCAGUGACGCCGCGUAUAGGACGAAGGUCUUCGGAUUGUAAACUAUUGUCGUUAGGGAAGAGAAAGGACAGUACCUAAGGAGGAAGCUCCGGCUAACUACGUGCCAGCAGCCGCGGUAAUACGUAGGGAGCAAGCGUUAUCCGGAUUUAUUGGGUUUAAAGGGUGCGUAGGCGGGUUAUCAAGUCAGCGGUAAAAUCGUGGAGCUCAACUCCAUCCAGCCGUUGAAACUGAUGAUCUUGAGUGGGCGAGAAGUA